GCACAAGCAGCGGAGCGUGUGGUUUAAUUCGAGGCUACGCGAAGAACCUUACCAGGGUUUGACAUGGCGGUGGUAGGGAUCCGAAAGGUGACCGACCCUUCGGGGAGCCGUCACAGGUGCUGCAUGGCUGUCGUCAGCUCGUGUCGUGAGAUGUUAGGUUAAGUCCUGUAACGAGCGCAACCCUCGUCGCUAGUUACAUGUGUCUAGCGAGACUGCCGGUGAUAAGCCGGAGGAAGGUGAGGAUGACGUCAAGUCAGCAUGGCCUUUAUAUCCUGGGCUACACACACGCUACAAUGGCCAGCACAAUGGGCAGCGAAACCGCGAGGUGGAGCCAAUCCUCCAAAGC
rnacentral:rRNA from 1 species